rnacentral:rRNA from 1 species
AGAGCGUACGGUGGAUGCCUUGGCACCAGGAGCCGAUGAAGGACGUAGGAGGCUGCGAUAAGCCUCGGGGGGGAGCUGUCAACCGAGCUGUGAUCCGAGGAUGUCCGAAUGGGGGAAACCCAGCACGAGUGAUGUCGUGUUACCCGCGCCUGAAUAUAUAGGGCGUGUGGAGGGAACGUGGGGGAAGUGAAACAUCUCAGUACCCACAGGAAGAGAAAACAACCGUGAUUCCGUGAGUAGUGGCGAGCGAAAGCGGAAGAGGCUAAACCAUGGGUGUGUGAUAGCCGGCAGGUGUUGCAUUCGUGGGGGUUGUGGGGGUUCAUUUUGUCAAUACUGCCGUGUUGGCCAACAGUAAGAAAUCACAGGGUUAGUGGAAGUGGUCUGGAACGGCCUGUCGUAGAGGGUGAGAAUCCCGUACACGAAAACUUUGUGACUGUUGUAAUGGAAACCCAAGUAGCACCGGGCCCGUGAAAUCUGGUGUGAAUCUGUCGGGACCACCCGAUAAGCCUGAAUACUCCCUGGUGACCGAUAGCGGACUAGUACCGUGAGGGAAAGGUGAAAAGUACCCCCGGGAGGGGAGUGAAAUAGUACCUGAAACCGUGCGCUUACAAUCCGUCAGAGCCUUCGAGCAGUUUACUGCUGGGGGGGUGAUGGCGUGCCUUUUGAAGAAUGAGCCUGCGAGUUAGUGGCAUGUCGCGAGGUUAACCCGUGUGGGGGUAGCCGUAGCGAAAGCGAGUCCGAAUAGGGCGAUCGUAGUGGCAUGCUCUAGACCCGAAGCGGAGUGAUCUACCCAUGGCCAGGUUGAAGCGACGGUAAGACGUCGUGGAGGACCGAACCCACUUAGGUUGAAAACUGAGGGGAUGAGUUGUGGGUAGGGGGUGAAAGGCCAAUCAAACUCCGUGAUAGCUGGUUCUCCCCGAAAUGCAUUUAGGUGCAGCGUCGCGUGUUUCUCACCGGAGGUAGAGCUACUGGAUGGUCUAGGGGGGGGCCCACAAGCUUACCGAAAUCAGCCAAACUCCGAAUGCCGGUGAGUGAGAGCGCGGCAGUGAGACUGCGGGCGAUAAGUUCGUAGUCGAGAGGGAAACAGCCCAGAUCGCCAGCUAAGGUCCCUAAGCGUGUACUAAGUGGAAAAGGAUGUGGGGGUCGCGAAGACAACCAGGAGGUUGGCUUAGAAGCAGCCACCCUUGAAAGAGUGCGUAAUAGCUCACUGGUCAAGUGAUCCUGCGCCGACAAUGUAGCGGGGGCUCAAGUACACCACCGAAGCUGCGGCAUUCACGCAAUAGCCCCCCCCAGUUGAUCCACGGAUUUUCUGGCAGGUGUGUGGAUGGGUAGGGGGGAGCGUCGUGUGGCCAUGGAAGCGGCAGGGUGACCUAGCCGUGGAGGCCACACGAGUGAGAAUGCAGGCAUGAGUAGCGAAAGACGAGUGAGAAACUCGUCCGCCGAAUGACCAAGGGUUCCUGGGCCAGGUUAAUCCGCCCAGGGUGAGUCGGGACCUAAGACGAGGCCGACAGGCGUAGCCGAUGGACAACGGGUUGAUAUUCCCGUACCCGUGUGAACGCGCCCAUGGUGAAUCAGUGAUACUAACCAUCCUGAAGCCACGAGAAGACCUUCGGGUCUCGAGUUGGUGGAUGCAUGGGACCUGAUCUGGUAGUAGCCAAGCGAUGGGGGUGACGCAGGAAGGUAGCUGAGCCAGUCAGUGGUAAUACUGGUGUAAGCGUGUAGGGCGUGACCUAGGCAAAUCCGGGUCGCACAUAGCCUGAGACGUGAUGCGUAGCCGAUUGAGGCGAAUUCAGUGAUCCUAUGCUGCCGAGAAAAGCCUCUAGCGAGCUUUCACACGGCCCGUACCCCAAACCGACACAGGUGGUCAGGUAGAGAAUACUAAGGCGAUCGAGAUAACUAUGGUUAAGGAACUCGGCAAAAUGCCCCCCCGUAACUUCGGGAGAAGGGGGGGCCCUGUCUGGUGACGACAUUUACUGUCUGAGCUGGGUGGGGCCGCAGAGACCAGUGAGAAGCGACUGUUUACUAAAAACACAGGUCCGUGCGAAGUCGUAAGACGAUGUAUACGGACUGACGCCUGCCCGGUGCUGGAAGGUUAAGAGGACCGGUUAGUUCCUUCGGGAGCGAAGCUGAGAAUUUAAGCCCCCCCAGUAAACGGCGGUGGUAACUAUAACCAUCCUAAGGUAGCGAAAUUCCUUGUCGGGUAAGUUCCGACCUGCACGAAUGGCGUAACGACUUCUCAGCUGUCUCAACCGUAGACUCGGCGAAAUUGCAUUACGAGUAAAGAUGCUCGUUACGCGCGGCAGGACGAAAAGACCCCGGGACCUUCACUACAGCUUGGUAUUGGUGUUCGGUUCGGUUUGUGUAGGAUAGGUGGGAGACUGUGAAGCGGUGACGCCAGUUAUCGUGGAGUCGUUGUUGAAAUACCACUCUGAUCGAAUUGGACCUCUAACCUCGGACCAUGAUCUGGUUCAGGGACAGUGCCUGGUGGGUAGUUUAACUGGGGGGGCGGUUGCCUCCCAAAAUGUAACGGAGGCGCCCAAAGGUUCCCUCAGCCUGGUUGGCAAUCAGGUGUCGAGUGCAAGUGCACAAGGGAGCUUGACUGUGAGACUGACAGGUCGAGCAGGGACGAAAGUCGGGACUAGUGAUCCGGCACCGGCAAGUGGAAGCGGUGUCGCUCAACGGAUAAAAGGUACCCCCCCGGGGAUAACAGGCUGAUCUUCCCCAAGAGUCCAUAUCGACGGGAUGGUUUGGCACCUCGAUGUCGGCUCGUCGCAUCCUGGGGGCUGGAGUAGGUCCCAAGGGUUGGGCUGUUCGCCCAUUAAAGCGGCACGCGAGCUGGGUUUAGAACGUCGUGAGACAGUUCGGUCUCUAUCCGCCGCGCGCGUUAGAAACUUGAGGAAGGCUGUCCCUAGUACGAGAGGACCGGGACGGACGAACCUCUGGUGUGCCAGUUGUUCCGCCAGGAGCACCGCUGGUUAGCUACGUUCGGAAGGGAUAACCGCUGAAAGCAUCUAAGCGGGAAGCCUGUUCCAAGAUGAGGUUUCUCACCCCCCCUCGAGGGGGUAAGGCCCCCCCCGGCAGACCACCGGGUUGA